CCUACGGGACGCAGCAGUGAGGAAUAUUGGUCAAUGGGCGCGAGCCUGAACCAGCCAAGUCGCGUGAGGGAUGACGGUCCUACGGAUUGUAAACCUCUUUUGCCGGGGAGCAAGCGUGCGUUCGUGAACGCGCGUCGAGAGUACCCGGAGAAAAAGCAUCGGCUAACUCCGUGCCAGCAGCCGCGGUAAUACGGAGGCUGCGAGCGUUACCCGGAUUUGUUGGGUUUAAAGGGUGCGUAGGCGGGGUGCCUAGUCAGCGGUAAAAAUGCGGUGCUCUACGCCGUCGAGCCGUUGAAUCUGAGGUU
rnacentral:rRNA from 1 species